rnacentral:rRNA from 1 species
GAUGAACGCUGGCGGCGUGCCUAAUACAUGCAAGUCGAGCGAACAGACGAGGCGCUUGCUCCUCUGACGUUAGCGGCGGACGGGUGAGUAACACGUGGAUAACCUCCCUAUAAGACUGGGAUCACUUCGGGACACCGGCGCUAAUACCGGAUAAUAUCUUGCACCGCAUGGUUCAAUAGUGAAAUACGGCUUUUCUGUCACUUAUAGCUGGAUCUGCGCCGCAUUAGCUAGUUGGUAAGGUAACGGCUUAUCAAGGCAACGAUGCGUAGCCGAGCUGCGAGGGGGAUCGGCCACACUGGAGCGGAGACACGGUCCAGAGUCCUACGGGAGGCAGCAGUAGGGAAUCUUCCGCAAUGGGCGGAAGCCUUACGGAGCAACGCCGAGUGAGUGAUGAAGGUGUUCGGAGCGGAAAACUCUGUUAUUAGGGAAGAACAAAUUUGGAAGGAACUAAACCCGUCUUGACGGUACCGAAUCAGAAAGCCACGGCUAACUACGUG